rnacentral:lncRNA from 1 species
CACGAUAAGGAGACCAAGCGAAAUGUACAGCUGCGUAGGGCCUUUGUUGCUCAUCAUAUUGUUCAGUAUGUCGACUGAUGCCUUAGAGAUUGAAGAACGGAUCGGAGAGCAGCCUUGUCGAGGUAGCCAUCAUUGUCUUCGCGGUCAGUGCUGCAUCGUACAAAGAAGAGGCCACACUUACAAAACCUGCCGGGACAGGCCCGGACUCGACGAGCCCUGUUCAACAGCAAUGUUGUCGGUCAACAAGUUCCCACGGCCAAGCUACAUAUAUGUGCACGGAUGCCCCUGUCGACAUUUAGGUCACUCGUGCCGGCGUUUAAGAGAACAAGACAACACAGGAGUGUGCCGUCCUAUGUUUGAAAGACGGAAUGUGUUUCCUUAGAGAGUGUUUAUUGAUCAGACUCUUGUGAGUGUCUAACGCCUGUCUGGUGUGUUUUCUGAUGCAUUCCUUACGCUAUUUUUAACACAUUGGUUAACAUUUCUCCGUUGCAUUUCUGAUGGUUCUUCAGCAUUUUUACUGAUGAUAUUCACAUGAAUGCUUGCAAUGGUUGGCAGAAGAGGGGUUCUGAUGCGGUUCUUGGUAAUCCUAAUGUCAGUCGUGUAGUGCGUUCUAAGGUUUUCUGAAUGCCUUCCUUAUGACUUUCUGACGUAUUAGUGCUGCAAAUCGCGAUAUUUCUCAAGUUGUAUCCUGCAAAUGGCGAACAUUAAA